CUGAGUAGGAUUUCAAGCAUGAGCCACCAGCACCUGGCUUCCAUCCAUUUCUUUUCUCUCAUUCACCCAUUUUACCAAGGUCUAAGACACCAUACCAAAUGGUAGGUCAUGGUCCCAAUUAAAGCCCCAGAGCUUACAGAAAGAAGUAUUGCAGGAAGUUUUAGGCCUGUUCACAUACAAUAAUAAUUGGAGGGGGUGGGCUGGGGAUAUGGCCUAGUGGCAA